UCUUGGAACACUUAACACUUCCUGGCUGUAUGACUCUGGGAAAUCCCCUUUGCCUUAAACAUCGAUGGGUGAUACAUGAAUAAGCCUAGAUGAAAAAAGCCCAAUAUCAUCAAUGGGCAUAGGAUCCAAGAGAUUAAGUGAAAGAUUUGCCUCUUACCAUGCCUGGUUUCCUUCAGUUCAGAACUCAUCUUCUGCAGAACAUCUCUGUGCCAGCCCUCCCAUACCCCACUGCGAGAGUUUCCCCAGGAGACAACCCACAUGGACUGCUUCUGUCUUAAUCCCUAACUUCCCUCAAGAUUCAGCUCCAAUGCCACUAUUGGCAAAAGGCCUUUCUGAAUGAAUCCUGGGUACCUUCUCCUCCGAGGUUACUUUUCAUCUACUCCAAAAGUAUCUACUAUCAAUGCAUUUAUGUACAUCUUGUCUCUUCUCAUUUGAAAAGUAAGCUCCCUGAGGGUAGAGAUUUAAAGACAUUUUUCCUUUAUAUCUCAGAUGCUUGGAACAGAGCUGGUUGGUAAAGUUGGUAAACAUCUGUUGAUUGACUGGUUGAUUGUCUCCUGGCAUUUACUCACUUCCUCUGGAUUGUUUGCCUCUGUUGCCAUCAUGGGUUGGACCUCAACAUGAUCUCACCAUAUCAUUAUUCAUUUAAUCAAUUGGCUCAGCCUGGACUUUUCCCUUUUCCUUUUCCCUUUUCCCCUAGGUGGGUUCCCUCCCACUGGACCUAUCAGUUGUCCUAAAUCACCCAUGUUGGUGCCUACUGCCAACACAUCGCUGAUAAGUAGUAAAAGUGAGAUGGAAAUCCAGUUCUCUCACCCUAGGUGAAGUUUUCUUUCCACGACAUUGGGCCAUUGACAAGGAGGAAGGUCACCACCCAAGCUGCUCCCACAAAGCAGAAUCACAUGGUUCAAAAUUAAUCCCCCACCCUUCCUACCUCCCUCUCCAUCCUAGUGAAAAUGCCCAUUUUAUCACCUGUCUAAUAAAAUAACUUGAUAAAAUACUAAGAAAUUUUUUGAUUCUCAGGUAUAUUUUACAUCUUAAAAGAAAUCUGUAAGAGAUGACAUGUUAACUAACAGCAC
rnacentral:lncRNA from 1 species